AUACCACUGUUAGAACAAAAAUAAAUGCAGAAAAAUAAAGAACAUUUUUAUUGAAUAGAAAUAAACUCUCUGUACAAUUCUAUAGACAAUCUUAAUUGAUGUACUGUUUAUAUAGCACUUAGCUCUAACAAAAUAAAAUAAGAAUUCCAUCUAAAUCUCAACCAUUAGUUAAUAUUAGAUCACUACUUAAAAUUUGAAAUGCAACAAUUUAAAAAAUGAAAACUAAAUCAAACAUUUUUUAAUUAGAUUCUAACAAAGAAUGAGCCUGCUUUAUUACUGAUCCCCUGUUUCUUCUUCUUCUUCUUCCUUUUU
rnacentral:misc_RNA from 1 species